GCAACUUACCUUUUACUAGGAGAUAGCCAAGAGAAAUUUUGAUUAAUAUCCUAUACAAUUAUUUUUUCGCAUGAUUUAAUAAUAAAAGCUCAGGCGGUAAAAGAUAGGCAUGCGUCCUAUUAGCUAGUAGGUGAGGUAAAGGCUCACCUAAGCUACGAUAGGUAGGGGUCCUGAGAGGGAGAUCCCCCACACUGGUACUGAGACACGGACCAGACUUCUACGGAAGGCAGCAGUAAGGAAUAUUGGACAAUGGAGGCAACUCUGAUCCAGCCAUGCCGCGUGCAGGAAGACGGCCUUAUGGGUUGUAAACUGCUUUUAUACAGGAAGAAACCUGCUCAC
rnacentral:rRNA from 1 species